GUAAUAGCUCACUGGUCGAGUCGGCCCGCGCGGAAGAUGUAACGGGGCUAAACCAUGCACCGAAGCUGCGGCAGCGACACAAAGUGUUGUUGGGUAGGGGAGCGUUCUGUAAGCCUGCGAAGGUGUACUGUGAGGUAUGCUGGAGGUAUCAGAAGUGCGAAUGCUGACAUAAGUAACGAUAAUGCGGGUGAAAAACCCGCACGCCGGAAGACCAAGGGUUCCUGUCCAACGUUAAUCGGGGCAGGGUGAGUCGACCCCUAAGGCGAGGCUGAAAAGCGUAGUCGAUGGGAAACGGGUUAAUAUUCCCGUACUGGUGGUAACUGCGAUGGGGGAACGGAGAAGGCUAGGUUGUCCGGGCGACGGUCGUCCCGGUUCAAGCAGGUAGGCAGAGUGAUUAGGCAAAUCCGGUCACUUAAUGCUGAGAUGUGAUGACGAACCACCAAGGUGGUGAAGCAAUUGAUGCCCCGCUUCCAGGAAAAGCCUCUAAGCUUCAGGUUACCAACAAUCGUACCCCAAAC
rnacentral:rRNA from 1 species